rnacentral:rRNA from 1 species
AACGAACGCUGGCGGCAGGCCUAACACAUGCAAGUCGAGCGCCCCGCAAGGGGAGCGGGCGGACGGGUGAGUAACGCGUGGGAACGUACCCUUUGCUACGGAAUAGCCUCGGGGAAACUGGGAGUAAUACCGUAUGUGCCCUUCGGGGGAAAGAUUUAUCGGCAAAGGAUCGGCCCGCGUUGGAUUAGGUAGUUGGUGGGGUAAUGGCCUACCAAGCCGACGAUCCAUAGCUGGUUUGAGAGGAUGAUCAGCCACACUGGGACUGAGACACGGCCCAGACUCCUACGGGAGGCAGCAGUGGGGAAUCUUAGACAAUGGGCGCAAGCCUGAUCUAGCCAUGCCGCGUGAGCGAUGAAGGCCUUAGGGUUGUAAAGCUCUUUCAGUGGGGAAGAGUAAUGACUGUACCCACAGAAGAAGCCCGGCUAACUCCGUG